UUCCCCGACCAGGGUUUGAACCUGGGACCAUGGCAGUAGAAGUGCCAAGUCCUAACCACUGGACUGCCAGGGA
rnacentral:tRNA from 1 species